UUCUUUUCUUUUCUCUCUUUCUUCUUCUUCUUCUUGUUAUUCUCUAUCAAUUCAGAGAGGAAAUAUCUGUCGAUAAUCUUCACAGAAAAUUAGUGAAACCAUUGAAUCAAAUAAGAUGGUGUUGAGUUCAUAAAUUGGAUUUGGUUAGAAGUUUCGAUUUAGUUGAAGAGACAUAGUUUUGUGAGAAUUAGGGUUAAAGAUUGAUGUUGGUUUUAGUAGAAAAUUGUUUGGAUAAUCGGUUUGUUAUCAAAUGUAGAACAUAGGGUUGCUGCUGAAUCGGAAAUUGUAUUAUUGGUCUGAAGAAUAACUGAGGUAUUAGUAGUUAGGGAUUCACUGGAGUGGCAAAGAGGAUUCAAAGAUGAAAUUGAUGUUCCAGAUAAGUUAUUAGAGAUGGGUAUGGGUUGAUUAAGUGAAAUUACAGUUGAAAUUAAGUUGUAAUUGAUGAAGUGAUGGAUUAAUUAGGGUUUGUGUGUUGAAGACUGGGAAUUGAAUCGGGGUUUGACAUCGAGAAAACAAGAGUACAAUGGAGAAAACCAGUGCAUGCUGGUGGUGUUAAUUCAGGCGUUAAUUCAAAUUUAAGAAGAACCAAAUAAGUUUAUAUCGAAGCUGGUGGUGCUGAAAUUGCAGUCCAUGAGAAUGGUGGUGGUGUUGCUGUGACGGUGAAGGUUGGUUACUGGAUUGCAUUUUGUAUGAGUUGAAGUUGUGGAUUGGUGGUAGAAAUGAGAAGCUGAGAUUGUUAUUUGAACCUAGAAUUAAGAUGUAUAUGUGGGUAUGAAGCUGAGAGUUCUGAAUUUGUCUUGUGUUUGAAUUACAAGGGAAUUGGUAUAGGUUAAGAUGAAUUGCAGGGAGGACUGAGAAGUGGUGAUAACUUUUAUGAGGGACUGUUGGAAUGUUUGAAUUGGGUUUCUUUUGGCUGUGAUGUUAAGGAUUACAGGUUGAGAUGAACUGGAAUGAAUAGAAUUAGAGAUAUGAGGAGAUGUGUAAUGGUGGAAGUUCUACAAUUGUUAUAUGUUUUCUGAAUUGAAGUUUGUGUGGAUUGAAGUUCUUUUGGAUGGUUGAUGGCGGUGUUGAACGGAGUUUAAGGCAGUGGUAUGAGAUGUAAUUGUAUUUGCUAAGCCUUAAAUAUGGCUGUUGGAGUAAUUGAAAUGAGUUUAUUAUGGAUGUGUGAAUUGUUGAUAACACUGAAGUGAAGAAUGUGUAGAUUAGAAAUAGAACCGCAGUGAAGAUAUUGAUGUAUAUGUGGUGGAUUAGUUUGCCGUAUGUGACUGAUAUUGCUUGUAAUGAUGGGUUUGCUUAUGCUGAGGCUGAAUCACAGUUAGAAGUGAAGUGUAGUCAGGAUGGGAGUUACAUAUGAGAUUUGAGUUUGAUAUAAGUGAGUCAGAUGUUGUGUAAUUGAAAUAUAAGAAUGAGGGUUAAAUGAAUAUGAUGAAUUGAACCUCCCCAGUGGAAGAUUGUAACUGCGAUCGCAGGUAAACCUAGUUUACAUUUGUAAUUGGAAUUUAAAGUUUGUUUUAAAUGAAUGAAAUUGAGGUUGAAAUGCUGAA